rnacentral:tRNA from 1 species
GGGCGCUUAGCUCAGUUGGUAGAGCGUCUGCCUUACAAGCANNAGCAGAAUGUCGGCGGUUCGAUCCCGUCAGCGCCCACCA